CCCCUUACCAUUCCGAACAGGGAAGUUAAGCCCGUCAGCGCCGAUGGUACUGCUACACCAAGUGGAAGAGUAGGUCGCCGCCUUUU
rnacentral:rRNA from 2 species